rnacentral:rRNA from 1 species
GAUGAACGCUGGCGGCGUGCCUAAUACAUGCAAGUCGAGCGAACAGACGAGGAGCUUGCUCCUCUGACGUUAGCGGCGGACGGGCGAGUAACACGUGGAUAACCUACCUAUAAGACUGGGAUAACUUCGGGAAACCGGAGCUAAUACCGGAUAAUAUAUUGAACCGCAUGGUUCAAUAGUGAAAUACGGUUUUGCUGUCACUUAUAGAUGGAUCCGCGCCGCAUUAGCUAGUUGGUAAGGUAACGGCUUACCAAGGCAACGAUGCGUAGCCGACCUGAGAGGGUGAUCGGCCACACUGGAACUGAGACACGGUCCAGACUCCUACGGGAGGCAGCAGUAGGGAAUCUUCCGCAAUGGGCGAAAGCCUGACGGAGCAACGCCGCGUGAGUGAUGAAGGUCUUCGGAUCGUAAAACUCUGUUAGUAGGGAAGAACAAAUGUGUAAGUAACUAUGCACGUCUUGACGGUACCUAAUCAGAAAGCCACGGCUAACUACGUG